UCUACUUCUAGGGCAUUGAUCAUUGAGUUCCAAGCUUUGUUUGUAGGAUGUACUGGUUCAAUCCUAUAGUCUUGAUGUCAGGGUACAACAACAAGUCAUCAGAUCUAUCUAACAACAAUACUAAAUGAAGAUUUGAUCCAGUCAAACUACCUCUCAGGAACUUGCUCUUGAAGAUUCUUGGUUUUCCAGAAUCUUCAUCCGGGCAUAUCGGUCAACCUAGUUUGACUAAGAUUAUUUACGAUUCUGUAAAGGAUCUGGG
rnacentral:lncRNA from 1 species